UGGGUAUAUUUGCAGCGUUCACAAAAUUAGGAAAAGUGUUUUCAUUCUGGUAUAAUGCUGGUAAUAUGACUGCUCCUUGUAUCAUCUGUAAUAAUUAUGCAAAUUAUUGUUACUAAAUACAGCAUUAAAUUAGAAAAAAACAAACGCCAGGAAAAUUGCAGAAAUGACGUGACUUUGAGCCAUGAUAAGAAAUUAAACUCAAAUAAUGUCUUCGUGUAAACACAAAAUGCACUUCAGUACUUGUACUGAAUUAUUAGUUGCACAAAA